rnacentral:lncRNA from 1 species
GGCUGGUGGGUGCCCUGGGCUGCCCGGCCUGAGCGACUCCCCUCCCCUCACAUGCAGGACUCUGCACCGGCUAUGAAAGAUUUAACCUCCAUCACCCCUGUUCCUCUCCUCCACACUGCCGGGUGUGGCCUGGGACUCCUCUGACUCCUCCAGGCAGCCCACCAGGCUGGAUGGGUGUCGCUUGCCGUCUGGAUCGGCAGUGAGCAGAGGUCCCUGCGCAGGGCCUGUGCCCCAAACAGCUCCCCCCCGGCUGCCUGAGACCCCACCUCGGGGCCUGCUGUGCCUUCCUUUCAAGUGGCAGAUCAUGGAGGACAAGAGGCUCUUUAUUUUGGCAAACCCGUGUUCGAGUCCUGACUCUGUCGCUCCACAUGGCACCCUGGUCACCUGGCUCCAUUUCCUUGGGUCCAGUUUCUUUCCAGAGAAGCCAGACUGAGCCCGGCAGGACAGCUGAUGCUCAGUGCACACCGAGAGCGCCGGGAUUAAACAGUAACCAUAGAGAAGACCUCCAGGGCGGUGGGGCGCAUGGAUCAGGAGAAACAGAACUGGGACAGAAGUGGGCUCCUGGUCCCCACUCCCUCUGCUGCAUUUUUUUUCUGAGUGAGC